UCAGGAUUUCUCAUGACCAAAGCCCUGUCUCUGAUGUCCCUUCCUUUAAAUUUAUGCUGCUAGACACAUUUGCAAGCAAUAAUGAAGGAAAUGGCUUAAUCCCACUACAACAGAUGGAAAGCAGUGGAUAGUGGAGAAAAUGGCUGCAGCAAUGAAGAAAGAAGUGAAGGAGUCUUCCAGCAAACCUCAAAACUAUACUCGCCCUGAAAGUGCCAAGUAUGCUGCUGAAGUCCUCAUCUGAUGAAUGGAAAUGACAAUGGACUACAAUGGAUGUAGACCAGACAUGGGCAAAUUUCAGCCAUAUAGGAAGAAUAACAGAAGAAGAAGGCUAUGACUGGUCCAGCAAGCAACCAACUCUCUUCCAAUCUUAAUAUGAAACUUGCAUCUUAAUAUGAAAGAUUAAAUAUCCAGAAAAUCCUAAUGAUAAACUCCCUUUCUGACCUUUCCUGCUUAACAGAGGUAUCCUUUAGUGUUGGGAUAGUUGUCAUUUGAAAUGGAGGUGAAACCACAGAACAUUCUUAAUAAGAACCCAAGCAGUGUGCAGAGCAGAGUGGCACUUGAUUCACUUUGCACAAAAAAAUAGAGAAUAGCUAAAGGAACCCUCCUCCAAAACCCUUGCCAUUCCAUUUCUCAAACGUAUCUCCUUCUAGUUGAAAGAGCAUACUCGCUCAGCAGUACUUCAGCAGGGAGGAAAAGUGCUUCUCCAACACAGAGCUCAUUCAGGUCAUGAUUCAUAAAGAAGGCUUGCACAUCCUCAUAUUGAUCAGUUUCUCCUAAUGGACACUAAAAGCCUGAAACACCCCCAAACCUCUCACUGGGAGGAAUGGUUCAAUGGCAAUUUAUCCAGGAAAGGAAAGCUGCUGCCCUCAUAAAAGUUUUUUAUUUUAUUUAUUUUUUUAAAGGCAGCUCAUCAAAGCAUGAUCCAGAUGCAUAACCCAAAGAGGGCAAAAACAAACAACUAGAAGCCUUUUGUAACAAUGCAGAAUAUCCUUUCUCAGUCUGGUGCUAAUGGUGUCACUGAGAAAGUCUAGGGUGAAGUUUCUUUUCCCACUGCAGUAGUUUCCUUCCCAAUUUUUCUUUUAUUUUCAUUUUUACAAUUCAUUCAAUGAUAGUGGCACCACCCAUCUGAUGGUAAGAAUGGAAAACAAAUUUACUGGGUUAACUCAUCACCCCAGAAAUAUCCAUUUUGCAUCUCUUAGAAUUGAUUCUGUAACAGAGUUGACUUGUUGAGGCUUACAACAC